AUUUAUACAAACAUUACUGAGUCUGGGAUCUUGAUUGGAUGUUGAAGUUGAUGCUUGGGAUCUCGUUUUAUACCUAUUGUAACGGGCCAAAAUUGCCCGAGGCCCAACAACCAAAAAACCAAAAUUAAAAACAAAACAAAAAAAAAUAUAAUAAAAACCCAAUAACAUAUAGUCCAUUAAAUGUCUAUUUACAAACUUUAGCCUGAAACAUUACAAACCCAAACCCAAUUUUUAGACCCAAAACCAAAUUAACCCCAAUGCCCAAACUAAUGCCCUAUGGUCCAAUUACAAAAAUUAUGGCCCAACUACUAGAAUAGGCCCGAAAAGCCCAAAUUGUCAAUGUUCCAGAAACACUAGGGCUCUCCCUCGCUUUGCGCGGCAACCGAGCCCCCCCUCAGCACCUCCGUACGCUCCAGUCUCCAGCAACCACGCCAACACAGCCCUGUACACCUCACGCCAAGGGCCAGCGCACGCCCGUACUCUACCUGCAAGAAGGACAAUCCACACAGCAACAAACACAAACAAAAAUAGCAGAACAACAAAUGAAAAAAUGGCAUUUUUAAUUUAUUUUCCUUUUUUAUUUUUUCCUUCGGCUAUAAAGCCAUAGUUCUUAGUCUAUGUAAAGGUUACGAACGCUUACGCACAUGGAGAGAUACAAAAAAAGAAUCAAAUAACAAAAGGUGAUUUCUUUUGUUUUUCUUCUGGGUUUUUUGCUUUAGAUUUCUACGAGUUGAUUCGUUUUCUCCUUAAGCCUUUCUUCAUUGUUUUGUUAAGAGAUAAAAGAAUAAGAAAAGAAGGGCUUACCUUCGCGAACGAGCCAUAGGGGACGGUUUCCUCUUCGCCAAAAUCAAAGCUCAGGAUCGAUCUCUCGAGGCUAAAACUCGGUCUCUAUACGAGGACCAAAGUGGGGAGAUAGGAUGGUUCCUCUGCGUGCCAUCAUCCACCAACUUCAAUGGUGGAAUAAGGAUGGUCGGUUAGCAGAACGAAGAAGAGGGGGGGCGCUUAGGUUUUUCUUCCCCUUUCCCAUCAUUUGUCUGCUGCGGC
rnacentral:lncRNA from 1 species